rnacentral:rRNA from 1 species
GAUGAACGCUAGCGGGAGGCUUAACACAUGCAACGUCGAGGGGUAAGGUCAAGCUUGCUUGACACACGACCGGCGCACGGGUGAGUAACGCGUAUGCAACCUACCUUUUACAGGAGGAUAGCCCUAAGAAAUUGGGAUUAAUACUCCAUAGUUUUGAGAUUUCGCAUGAGAUUUCAAAUAAAGUUCCGGCGGUAAAAGAUGGGCAUGCGUACCAUUAGCUAGUUGGUGAGGUAACGGCUCACCAAGGCGACGAUGGUUAUGGGGUCUAAAAGGAUGGUCCCACACACUGGUACUGAGACACGGACCAGACUCCUACGGGAGGCAGCAGUGAGGAAUAUUGGUCAAUGGGCGGAAGCCUGAACCAGCCAUCCCGCGUGCAGGAAUACAGCCCUAGAGGUUUUAAACUGCUUUUAUAUACGAAGAAUAAGCUAUACGUGUAUAGUGAUGCCGGUAGUAUAUGAAUAAGCACCGGCUAACUCCGUGCCAGCAGCCGCGGUAAUACGGAGGGUGCAAGCGUUAUCCGGAUUUAUUAGGUUUAAAGGGUGCGUAGGCUGAUGCUUAAGUCAGUGGUAAAAUCCAUUAGCUCAACUAAUGUAAGCCAUUGAAACUGGGUAUCUUGAGUUCGGUUGAGGUAGGCGGAAUGUGUUGUGUAGCGGUGAAAUGCAUAGAUAUAACACAGAACACCGAUUGCGAAGGCAGCUUACUAAGCCGUUACUGACGCUGAUGCACGAAAGCGUGGGUAUCAAACAGG